rnacentral:rRNA from 1 species
UACGUAGGAGACGAGCGUUGUCCGGAGUUACUGGGCGUAAAGGGUGCGCAGGUGGUUGUGCGCGUGGGGGGUGAAAUCGCCCGGCUUAACUGGGCGGGGGCCUUCCAGACGGCAUGACUUGAGCAGCGGAGGGGACGUGGGAAUUCCGGGUGGAGCGGUGAAAUGCGUAGAGAUCCGGAAGAACACCACUGGCGCAGGCAAGGUCCUGGCUCGUAUCUGACGCUGAGGUGA